rnacentral:tRNA from 1 species
GAUUAUAAUUUAAAAAAAAAUAUUUAAUUUGCAAUUAAAAUAUAUUGUAUACUCAAUUUAUCUU